UACGUAGGGACCGAGCGUUGUCCGGAUUCAUUGGGCGUAAAGAGCUCGUAGGCGGCUGCUCAAGUCGAAUGUGAAAACUCGAGGCUCAACCUCGAGCCUGCAUUCGAUACUGGGCGGCUAGAGUCUGGUAGGGGGAUCUGGAAUUCCUGGUGUAGCGGUGGAAUGCGUAGAUAUCGGGAGGAACACCGGUGGCGAAGGCGGCUCUCUGGACGGUGACUGACACUGAGGUGCGAAAGCGUGGGGAGCAAACAGG
rnacentral:rRNA from 1 species